AACCUGGUUGAUCUUGCCAGUAGUCAUAUGCUUGUCUCAAAGAUUAAGCCAUGCAAGUGAAAGUAUAUGCAUAUUUUGAUAUGUAGAAACUGCGAACGGCUCAUUAAAACAGUUAUAAUCUACUUGACAAUUUUUUUUUUUAUAAGGAUAACUACGGAAAAGCUGUAGCUAAUACUUGGUUUUUUUUAAAUGUUUUUUACAAUUAAUUCUUCGGAAUUUUUGUAAUAAGCAUAGUAUUUGUUAGUCCUUUUUAAAAAGAAAUUUGAACUUAAGGAAUUAUAACAAAGAAAGAACACAUAAAAAAUAGUUGCUAUUUUUUUUAGUGUGUAUCAAUCGAGUUUCUGACCUAUCAGCUUUUGAUGUUAGGAUAUAGGCUUAACAUGGCUAUGACGGGUAACGGGGAAUUAGAGUUCGAUUCCGGAGAGGGAGCCUGAGAAACGGCUACCACAUCUAAGGAAGGCAGCAGGCGCGUAAAUUACCCAAUUUUAAAUAAAAGAGGUAGUGACAAGAAAUAAUAGGACAAGACUUAUUUCUAAGUUUUGUAUCUGUACUGAUAGAAAUUUAAAAACUUUCUAGAACUCCAUUGGAGGGCAAGUCUGGUGCCAGCAGCCGCGGUAAUUCCAGCUCCAAUAGCGUAUAUUAAAAUUGUUGCAGUUAAAACGCUCGUAGUUGAAUUUCAAAGAAUCAAUAUUAAAAGUUUUUACGAAUUCAAAAAAAAAAAAAAAAAAUGAAUGUAUUUUUUUUUUUUUUUCUGUGUUAUUUAACUAAUGAAAAAAAAAAAAAUUUGUCAUUUAUUUUUUUUUAAUUUUUUUUGUUUCUCGUUACUUUUAAACAUAAUGAUUCUUUUUAAAGUUUUUUUUUUUUUUAAUAUUUUUAUAUUAAAAAAAAAAAAAAAAACUUUGUUACUUUGAGUAAAUUAGAGUGUUUAAAGCAAACAUUUAGAGCAUUUUUUGAAUGUGUUUGAAUACUAAAGCAUGGAAUAACGACAUUGCAAAGAACUACCAUGAGUUUUUUUUUUUAGUUUUCUAAUAGUAGUUUUUUUUUAGUUACGAUUAAUAGGAGUAGUUGUUUGGGGCAUUUGUAUUCAGAUGUUAGAGGUGAAAUUCUUAGAUUUUCUGGAGACAAACUACUGCGAAAGCAUUUGCCUGGAAUAUUUCCAUUAAUCAAGAACGAAAGUUAAGGGAGUGAAGACGAUCAGAUACCGUCGUAAUCUUAACCAUAAACUAUACCGACUAGGUGUUGGAUGAAAAAUGAAAAAUUUUUCUAGUGAUUUAUUUUAAAUAAGAAAAAAAAAGCCUUUUUAGGUUUUUUUUUUUUUUUUAUUUAUUUUAAAUACUUUUUAGAAAAUACUUGCUUCUUUCAGUACCUUAUGAGAAAUCAAAGUUUUUGGGUUCUGGGGCGAGUAUUCGCGCAAGCGAGAAAGUUAAAAGAAUUGACGGAAGGGCACCACCAGGCGUGGAGCUUGCGGCUUAAUUUGACUCAACACGGGAAAUCUCACUAGUUUAAGACAAGAGUAGGAUUGACAGAUUGACUUUAGCUCUUUCUUGAUUUCUUGGAUGGUGAUGCAUGGCCGUUUUUAGUUCGUGAAAUUUGAUUUGUCUGGUUAAUUCCGAUAACGAACGAGACCUUACUUUGCUAAUUAGCGAUAAAUACAAGAUAUUCUUAAUUUAAAAAUAAGAUAAUAAAAAAAAAAAAAAAAGAAUUUGUUUAGAUUUUGCAUUUUUUAUUAAAAAAAUGUAUAUUUCUUUUACAGUAUUUUUUUUUUUUUUUUUUGACUUUGUUUGAUUAGGAAUGUAUUUAUUAAAAUUAAAAAGCUUCUUAGAGGAACGAUGUGUGUUUAACACAAGGAAGUUUAAGGCAACAACAGGUCUGUGAUGUCCUUAGAUAUACUAGGCUGCACGCGUGCUACACUGAUAUGUGUAGCGAGUAUUCAAUUUACACAAUAAAAAAAGAUGUAGUUAUUUUAACUAUGUUUUUAUUUUUUGUGUUCCUCCUUCACUGAAAAGUGUGGGUAAUCUUUUUUUCAAUACAUAUCGUGAUGGGGAUAGAUUAUUGCAAUUAUUAAUCUUGAACGAGGAAUGCCUAGUAAGCAUGAUUCAUUAGAUUGUGCUGACUACGUCCCUGCCCUUUGUACACACCGCCCGUCGCUCCUACCGAUUGAAAGAUAGGAUGAAUUGUUCGGACAAGAACUUAAUCAAGGGAUAUUUUUUUUGAUUUUGUUUUGGAAGAACUGUUAAUCCUAUCUUUUAAAGGAAGGAGAAGUCGUAACAAGGUUUCCGUAGGUGAACCUGCGGAAGGAUCAUAC
rnacentral:rRNA from 1 species